rnacentral:tRNA from 1 species
CGGGGCAUAGCGCAGUCUGGUAGCGCAACUGCUUUGGGAGCAGUGGGUCGGGAGUUCGAAUCUCUCUGCCCCGACCA